UAGGGAAUCUUCCGCAAUGGACGCAAGUCUGACGGAGCAACGCCGCGUGAGUGAAGAAGGUUUUCGGAUCGUAAAACUCUGUUGUUAGAGAAGAACAAGUGCUAGAGUAACUGUUAGCGCCUUGACGGUAUCUAACCAGAAAGCCACGGCUAACUACGUGCCAGCAGCCGCGGUAAUACGUAGGUGGCAAGCGUUGUCCGGAUUUAUUGGGCGUAAAGCGAGCGCAGGCGGUUCCUUAAGUCUGAUGUGAAAGCCCCCGGCUCAACCGGGGAGGGUCAUUGGAAACUGGGGAACUUGAGUGCAGAAGAGGAGAGUGGAAUUCCAUGUGUAGCGGUGAAAUGCGUAGAUAUAUGGAGGAACACCGGUGGCGAAAGCGGCUCUCUGGCUUGUAACUGACGCUGAGGCUCGAAAGCGUGGGGAGCAAACAGGAUUAGAUACCCUGGUAGUCCACGCUGUAAACGAUGAGUGCUAGGUGUUAGACCCUUUCCGGGGUUUAGUGCCGUAGCUAACGCAUUAAGCACUCCGCCUGGGGAGUACGACCGCAAGGUUG
rnacentral:rRNA from 1 species